UACAGAGGGGGCAAGCGUUAUUCGGAAUUACUGGGCGUAAAGGGCGCGUAGGCGGUUCGAUAAGUCAGCUGUGAAAACCAUGGGCUUAACUCAUGGCCUGCAGUUGAGACUGUCGGGCUGGAGUGUGGGAGAGGAGAGUGGAAUUCCUGGUGUAGCGGUGGAAUGCGCAGAUAUCAGGAAGAACACCAACGGCGAAGGCAGCUCGCUAGGACGGUACUGACGCUGAGACGCGAAAGCGUGGGGAGCGAACAGG
rnacentral:rRNA from 1 species